UACAGAGGGUGCGAGCGUUGUUCGGAAUUAUUGGGCGUAAAGGGCGCGUAGGCGGCCUGUUAAGUCGGACGUGAAAUCCCUCGGCUCAACCGGGGAACUGCGUCCGAUACUGGCGGGCUUGAAUUCGGGAGAGGGAUGUGGAAUUCCAGGUGUAGCGGUGAAAUGCGUAGAUAUCUGGAGGAACACCGGUGGCGAAGGCGGCAUCCUGGACCGACAUUGACGCUGAGGCGCGAAAGCCAGGGGAGCAAACGGG
rnacentral:rRNA from 1 species